GAUGAACGCUGGCGGCGUGCCUAAUACAUGCAAGUCGAGCGAACGGACGAGAAGCUUGCUUCUCUGAUGUUAGCGGCGGGCGGGUGAGUAACACGUGGAUAACCUACCUAUAAGACUGGGAUAACUUCGGGAAACCGGAGCUAAUACCGGAUAAUAUUUUGAACCGCAUGGUUCAAAGGUGAAAGACGGUCUUGCUGUCACUUAUAGAUGGAUCCGCGCUGCAUUAGCUAGUUGGUAAGGUAACGGCUUACCAAGGCAACGAUGCAUAGCCGACCUGAGAGGGUGAUAGGCCACACGGGAACUGAGACACGGUCAAGACUCCUACGGGAGGCACCAGUAGGGAAUCUGCCGCAAUGGGCGAAAGCCUGACGGAGCAACGCCGCGUGAGUGAUGAAGGUCUUCGGAUCGUAAAACUCUGUUAUGAGGGAAGAACAGAUGUGUAAGUAACUGUGCACAGCUUGACGGUACCUAAUCAGAAAGCCACGGCUAACUACGUG
rnacentral:rRNA from 1 species